CGCCGAAGGUGGGGCUGAUGACUGGGGUGAAGUCGUAACAAGGUAGCCGUACCGGAAGGUGCGGCUGGAUCACCUCCUAACAGGGAGACAUAAACUGAUUAUGAUGUCUGAAUAAAAUUUAGGCCGUAAUCCUGUCACCUUAGGUCGAUCGGUACCUCAGAUUGAUAUUUAAGUGAAGUUGAUUCUCAAUUUUACUUUUCAAUUUUAGUUCCUAAACUUGUCUAGGUCACACCCAACAAACUUUCUCCUGGGCUAUUAGCUCAGGCGGUUAGAGCGCACCCCUGAUAAGGGUGAGGUCCCUGGUUCAAGUCCAGGAUGGCCCAUUCGUUGUUGGGGGUAUAGCUCAGUUGGUAGAGCGCCUGCUUUGCAAGCAGGAUGUCAGCGGUUCGAGUCCGCUUACCUCCACUGAUCAACUACCUGAUAACUCAAUUUGGAGAUUGUUAUUUGGUUAAAGUGACUUAGAUGUUGUUCAAUCUGAAUGAACCUAGCUUCCUAUCAUACCUAAUAUAUUUGUAUUUGGCUGAUAAGACGCUGGGCUCACUACUAUUCGAAAGUUUUAGUAGUUUGAUUCAGUAGAACCUUGACAACUGCAUAGGAAAGUCUGGAAAAAUAAAGCAUCUCAUAGAUGCAAAAAGCUAUUAAUUUAGUACUUCUAACAUUAAUACUUUUUGCUUAAUUCUUGAGUUAGAGCAAAUUUACUUUUGAUGAAAAUGCUUUUAAAAAGUAUUUUUUCAAUAGUAACUAAUGGUCAAGCUACAAAGGGCUCA
rnacentral:misc_RNA from 1 species